UAAACUCAUACUGAUUGCGCCUUCAAUCAUAGCCUGUUUAUGCAGUCGACUAUUUUUUUCGAAUAUAAUACUUCACAAUUGUAAUUCUUUGUAUAUGUUUUAUUUUAUAAUGUUAAAAUAUAUAAUGAUAACAGUGACAAUUAAAUUGCCGCGCUUUUGCAUAGCAUAGAAUAUACAAAGUCAUUUCCUAAAAAUUAUCGUGCAAAGUGAUCGCGCGCGCGUAUCGCAAAGCACAUACAAACAUGGAUCAUUGAAAACCUUGCUUGGACUCUUCCAAAUAUGCAAGCACUGUAGAAAAAUCGCGAAACGUAUUUUUUCAUGGCUUUAAACAUUCGUAGAGUUCUGUUUUCAGGUUUUACCUAUUUAUUCAUGCAUUAUCAAAACACUAGUGCCGUAACUAUUAUGUGAGUUAUUCUUAGAUUUAUUCAUGAACGAUUUAUUCAUCAACGAUUUAUUCAUCCAUGUAACGGUUUCUUUCAACUGCCGCGAUCAAAACCUAUUGUAAUUUGUAAUUUAUCCGUUUCAUAAAUACAAGCCAUGUAUUUAUGGUCAAAACUAUAUUUUCCACAUACUAUUGUUAACAGAAAUUCCAAUGUACGUGCGUGCAUGAAUGUUAUUAUUAAGAAUAAUGCUAUAUAUUACACGUAUCCUGAUUCAAAAUUGUUUUAUUAUUUGAAGUUAAACAUAUUUUAUUUUUUCAUAUAGUAUUUGUUUGUUUAUCUAAGAAAUUAUUUUCAAUCACUUUGCAAGCAAUUUUGAUUUGAAAUAAAUUUUAAUAUAACAUUUGCAAGAACUCUAUGUGAUGUUCGAAAAACUUUGCGAUCACGCAAAGCAAAACGCAUUUUAUACUUUCAGUCUUUCGAGUGUCUGAGAAUGGCCUCGAGCAAAGAGUAUGAUUUAGGACAUAGUGUUUCCUAAAGUAUGUAGGUAUACAUACGUACACAGUAGAACAAGUAGUACAUACACGUCCAUUUACACACAUGAGUGUUCGUAACUAUACCUAUUUGUAGCCUGCAUCAUCGGGCAAAAAGUAGGUCUAGGGAAUCAGCUGACCGAAAGAGGCGCGUGCGCUUCACUAAAAGCAGAACACAUUUGAAACGCCCACUAUACACCUACUCUUGGAAUCCCAGAAAAAAAGAGUUCUCGAAACGCGGAUACUGAUAAACCUACAAAAACUUUCGUUUAAUCAAUCCCUGACUACAUGUACAUCUGUCAUAUCGGUGCACAUUGCAAUGACACGUAGCGGAUCUUUGGCCAUGGCCGAGUGAGAGUUUAGCGCAAAUAAACAUAGUCAAGGCUGACAUUUGCGUAAAAAGCCGUGAAAUUUUGAAACUGUAUUUCAUCCGUCCCGCAUCCACUUUAUGGUGUAAAAUAAAUACAUCUAAUAAUAAGAAGAA